AAGGUGAGGCUCGUGAUUGGGACUAAGUCGUAACAAGGUAGCCGUACCGGAAGGUGCGGCUGGAUCACCUCCUUU
rnacentral:ncRNA from 1 species